rnacentral:tRNA from 1 species
GUUAGGCUAGUUUAUUAAAAAUAUCAGGAUGUGGAUCUGGAGAAUAAGGCUGUGAUCCUUAGCUUGACA